rnacentral:lncRNA from 1 species
CAGCAGGGGCGGCCGCAGGUCGCCGUUCAAUAAUACUCAAGGGAUUUGUACAGCCCUGUAGGAGACACCUCCAGAGAAAGUAACAGCUCUCAAUUGAUUAGCUGAGAAGCCUCAGGGGCUGGAUCCUGACAUGAACCAGACACCUCCAGAAUUCUAUCCCAAGCAAAAGAUUAUUUCAAGGCCAGAACUCACUCCCUGCUGGAGACUGACUACAAGAUCCACUGAGAUUGAUGUGUAACCUGAUUGGGCCCACAGUGAUGCUAGCCCCUUCACCAGAUGGAACAAUAAUUCCAGACAAGCCAUCAGAGCAGGUCACACCACUUGACACCUUCUCGCCCCCUUGCCUCUCCUGCAUUCCAAACCCCUCUCUUUAAAAUCCCCAUGUUCCCUCCGUAAACUGGGCAGUGCCAAUUGUUGGAAAGAAUUCUGGCACUCUUUUCCUUCUUAGCAUGGAUAAAAAGAUUCACCCUCUUUUUAUCACACCUCACUCUUGUUAUUUUGGCUUCUUUCUACAAGUGGUGAGCAACCG